rnacentral:rRNA from 1 species
UACGUAGGGUGCGAGCGUUAAUCGGAAUUACUGGGCGUAAAGCGUGCGUAGGCGGUCCGCGAAGUCUGAUGUGAAAGCCCCGGGCUCAACCUGGGAACUGCAUUGGAAACUAACGGGCUCGAGUGUGGCAGAGGGGGGUGGAAUUCCACGUGUAGCAGUGAAAUGCGUAGAGAUGUGGAGGAACACCGAUGGCGAAGGCAGCCCCCUGGGCUAACACUGACGCUCAGGCACGAAAGCGUGGGGAGCGAACAGG